AGCAGUGUGGCUCAGUGGAAAGAGCACGGGCUUGGGAGUCAGAGGUCAUGGGUUCGAAUCCCGGUUCUGCCA
rnacentral:tRNA from 1 species